UUUAUACUCCCUUUGUCCCGAAUUAAUUGACUCAGAUUUGUCUAGAUACGUAUAUAUCUAGACACAUUUUAGUGUUAGAUACAUCCGUAUCUAUAUAAAUACAAGUCAACUAAUUUGAAAUGGAGGAAGUAGAAG
rnacentral:pre_miRNA from 1 species